AGAGUUUGAUCCUGGCUCAGGAUGAACGCUAGCGGCAGGCUUAACACAUGCAAGUCGAGGGGCAGCGUGGAGCAGCAAUGCUCUGACGGCGACCGGCGGAAGGGUGCGUAACACGUGAGCGACUUGCCCGUCACAGGGGGAUAACCGGCGGAAACGGCGACUAAUACCCCAUAUGAUGCGAUGCUGCAUGGCAUUGCAUUGAAAGAUUCAUCGGUGGCGGAUAGGCUCGCGGGACAUUAGCUAGACGGCGGGGCAACGGCCCACCGUGGCGACGAUGUCUAGGGGUUCUGAGAGGAAGACCCCCCACACUGGGACUGAGACACGGCCCAGACUCCUACGGGAGGCAGCAGUGAGGAAUAUUGGUCAAUGGGCGGAAGCCUGAACCAGCCAUGCCGCGUGAAGGACUAAGGCCCUACGGGUCGUAAACUUCUUUAGACGCAGAGCAAUAAGGUCCACGUGUGGACCGAUGAGAGUAUGCGUAGAAUAAGCAUCGGCUAACUCCGUGCCAGCAGCCGCGGUAAUACGGGGGAUGCGAGCGUUAUCCGGAUUCAUUGGGUUUAAAGGGUGCGUAGGCGGCCGAGUAAGUCAGCGGUGAAAGACCGGGGCUCAACCCUGGAAGUGCCGUUGAUACUGUUUGGCUGGAAUGAUCCCGCCGCGGGAGGAAUGAGUGGUGUAGCGGUGAAAUGCAUAGAUAUCACUCAGAACACCGAUUGCGAAGGCAUCUCGCGAGGGGUCAAUUGACGCUGAGGCACGAAAGCGUGGGGAUCGAACAGGAUUAGAUACCCUGGUAGUCCACGCAGUAAACGAUGAUGGCUAACUGUCGGGCCUGCGGGUUCGGCGGCCAAGCGAAAGCGAUAAGCCAUCCACCUGGGGAGUACGACCGCAAGGUUGAAACUCAAAGGAAUUGACGGGGGCCCGCACAAGCAGUGGAGUAU
rnacentral:rRNA from 1 species